rnacentral:rRNA from 1 species
UACAGAGGGGGCAAGCGUUGUUCGGAAUUACUGGGCGUAAAGGGCGCGUAGGCGGCCGCCUAAGUCAGACGUGAAAUCCCUCGGCUCGACCGGGGAACUGCGUCUGAUACUGGGUGGCUUGAAUUCGGGAGAGGGAUGCGGAAUUCCAGGUGUAGCGGUGAAAUGCGUAGAUAUCUGGAGGAACACCGGUGGCGAAGGCGGCAUCCUGGACCGAGAUUGACGCUGAGGCGCGAAAGCCAGGGGAGCAAACGGG